AGGAAUAUUGGUCAAUGGGCGAUGGCCUGAACCAGCCAAGUAGCGUGAAGGAUGACUGCCCUAUGGGUUGUAAACUUCUUUUAUAAAGGAAUAAAGUCGGGUAUGCAUACCCGUUUGCAUGUACUUUAUGAAUAAGGAUCGGCUAACUCCGUGCCAGCAGCCGCGGUAAUACGGAGGAUCCGAGCGUUAUCCGGAUUUAUUGGGUUUAAAGGGAGCGUAGAUGGAUGUUUAAGUCAGUUGUGAAAGUUUGCGGCUCAACCGUAAAAUUGCAGUUGAUACUGGAUGUCUUGAGUGCAGUUGAGGCAGGCGGAAUUCGUGGUGUAGCGGUGAAAUGCUUAGAUAUCACGAAGAACUCCGAUUGCGAAGGCAGCCUGCUAAGCUGCAACUGACAUUGAGGCUCGAAAGUGUGGGUAUCAAACAGGAUUAGAUACCCUGGUAGUCCACACGGUAAACGAUGAAUACUCGCUGUUUGCGAUAUACGGCAAGCGGCCAAGCGAAAGCGUUAAGUAUUCCACCUGGGGAGUACGCCGGCAACGGUGAAACUCAAAGGAAUUGACGGGGGCCCGCACAAGCGGAGGAACAUGUGGUUUAAUUCGAUGAUACGCGAGGAACCUUACCCGGGCUUAAAUUGCACUCGAAUGAUCCGGAAACGGUUCAGCUAGCAAUAGCGAGUGUGAAGGUGCUGCAUGGUUGUCGUCAGCUCGUGCCGUGAGGUGUCGGCUUAAGUGCCAUAACGAGCGCAACCCUUGUUGUCAGUUACUAACAGGUGAUGCUGAGGACUCUGACAAGACUGCCAUCGUAAGAUGUGAGGAAGGUGGGGAUGACGUCAAAUCAGCACGGCCCUUACGUCCGGGGCUACACACGUGUUACAAUGGGGGGCACAGAGGGCCGCUACCACGCGAGUGGAUGCCAAUCCCUAAAACCCCUCUCAGUUCGGACUGGAGUCUGCAACCCGACUCCACGAAGCUGGAUUCGCUAGUAAUCGCGCAUCAGCCACGGCGCGGUGAAUACGUUCCCG
rnacentral:rRNA from 1 species